UUGCCCUAGUAACGGCGAGUGAAGCGGCAACAGCUCAAAUUUGAAAUCUGGCCUCCUUUGGGGGUCCGAGUUGUAAUUUGCAGAGGGUGCUUUGGCGUCGGCAGCGGUCUAAGUUCCUUGGAACAGGACAUCACAGAGGGUGAGAAUCCCGUACGUGGUCGCCUGCCUUCGCCGUGUAAAGCCCCUUCGACGAGUCGAGUUGUUUGGGAAUGCAGCUCUAAAUGGGAGGUAAAUUUCUUCUAAAGCUAAAUACCGGCCAGAGACCGAUAGCGCACAAGUAGAGUGAUCGAAAGAUGAAAAGCACUUUGGAAAGAGAGUCAAACAGCACGUGAAAUUGUUGAAAGGGAAGCGCUUGCAGCCAGACUUGCUCGUAGUUGCUCAUCCGGGUCCGCCCGGAGCACUCUUCUGCGAGCAGGCCAGCAUCAGUUUGGGCGACCGGAUAAAGGCCUCUGUCAUGUAUCUUCCUUCGGGAUGACCUUAUAGGGGAGGCGUAAUGCGGCCAGCCCGGACUGAGGUCCGCGCUUCUGCUAGGAUGCUGGCGUAAUGGCUGUAAGCGGCCCGUCUUGAAACACGGACCAAGGAGUCUAACAUCUAUGCGAGUGUUUGGGUGUCAAGCCCGGGCGCGUAAUGAAAGUGAACGGAGGUGGGAACCCUCUCCGGGGGGUGCACCAUCGACCGAUCCUGAUGUCUUCGGAUGGAUUUGAGUAAGAGCAUAGCUGUUGGGACCCGAAAGAUGGUGAACUAUGCUUGAAUAGGGUGAAGCCAGAGGAAACUCUGGUGGAGGCUCGCAGCGGUUCUGACGUGCAAAUCGAUCGUCAAAUUUGGGCAUAGGGGCGAAAGACUAAUCGAACUAUC
rnacentral:rRNA from 1 species